AAUUUAACAAACCUAAAACCUAAAAUUUCACUCCCUCUCUUAGUCAUCGUCGCACACUCAUCCUACUUUCUCUUCUUCUUCCACCUCCUCCUCCACCACUCGCCUUCAGCCACCACCUCUCCCUCCUAUGUUGUGUCGUUUGAACCGCGGGGAUAACUGCGAUUUCGAUCUCCACCCCAAUCACAGUUGUGAUUAUUGUGACUGUGAUAGGGACUUCAAGCGUUGCCACAACCCUAGCCGCUACUCUCCCUUGUCAUUGCCGCGCUGGUCACCUCCGUAGUACAAGCGAUUCCAUAGAGGCAGCCCCCGUGGUGGGGGAUAUGAACCAAUGAUGGGUUUGGCUAUGAUUAUUCUAGUGGUUAUGAAUGGCGAGCGGGCGGAAGGAUUGGUUAUGCUGAUGAGAAGUCUUAUGGCACGCUUGCACACCGAUCUACUAGGGGAUAUCAUAAUGGGAUUUCUGGUGUGUUAAUAAUUGUUAAUCACUAUGGGUUUUUCUUAUAUAGUGUAAAUGACAUAUAUCGUUAGCUUUAAUUCCUCUUUUAUUCUGUGAUUAAUGAAUGCUUAUAUAAUAUAGAGUGUUGUAUCCUUGUGGCAUACAUGUUUUGAUAGACUUAAGAUAGAGUUUGGUAAUGAGAUGCAAUGUGUGAAAUGGAACCUAGUUAUCAAUUUUGUAUCCUUCUCUUGAAAGUCUCAAGUUGUGUAGUGUAAAUUUUUUUUCUUCUAAAUUUAGCCAAGUUUUUUGUUU